rnacentral:rRNA from 1 species
GACGAACGCUGGCGGCGUGCUUAACACAUGCAAGUCGAACGGAAAGGCCCUGCUUUUGUGGGGUGCUCGAGUGGCGAACGGGUGAGUAACACGUGAGUAACCUGCCCUUGACUUUGGGAUAACUUCAGGAAACUGGGGCUACUACCGGAUAGGAGCUCCUGCUGCAUGGUGGGGGUUGGAAAGUUUCGGCGGUUGGGGAUGGACUCGCGGCUUAUCAACUUGUUGGUGGGGUAGUGGCUUACCAAGGCUUUGACGGGUAGCCGGCCUGAGAGGGUGACCGGCCACAAUGGGACUGCGGUACGGCCCAGACUCCUACGGGAGGCAGCAGUGGGGAAUAUUGCACAAUGGGCGGAAGCCUGAUGCAGCAACGCCGCGUGCGGGAUGACGGCCUUCGGGUUGUAAACCGCUUUCGCCUGUGACGAAGCGUGAGUGACGGUAAUGGGUAAAGAAGCACCGGCUAACUACGUG